UACGAAGGGGGCUAGCGUUGGCUCGGAAUCACUGGGCGUAAAGCGCACGUAGGCGGCUUUUAAGUCAGAGGUGAAAUCCUGGAGCUCAACUCCAGAACUGCCUUUGAUACUGGAGAGCUUGAGUCCGGGAGAGGUGAGUGGAACUGCGAGUGUAGAGGUGAAAUUCGUAGAUAUUCGCAAGAACACCAGUGGCGAAGGGCGGACUCACUGGCCCGGACGUAC
rnacentral:rRNA from 1 species